GUGUGUGAGUGUGUGUGCGCGCGCCCCGGGGGCAGGGAGGCGGGAGGCGGCGGCGGGCGGCCGGGAGCGGGGGCCGGUUCCUGGUCCCCGGGAGAAGCCAAGAAGGUAUCAGAAUGGUCUGUGGGUUUGUUUUAAAGCUACAGAAAGGACAGAGCAAGAACCAAAGAAGAAAAAAGAUUCCCUGCAGCCUGCCAGAGACGUGGUAGCUGCCUUGCCAACAGCUAUCCUGGGAGGGCUAUUGAAAGAGCCUGGAAUCGCCCUCGUGGACUUUCUGGAUGAGUCCCUCUGCGCUCAUCUCAGCGUUUAUAACCAAGGGGUUCUUGCGCGAGCCCCCGGGGAGCCUCUCAAGACCCCUGCCCCCACAAGUGGAAUUCCAAGCUGUGCCUGGAUGCGCAUAUUUAACAGGAUUUUAAUAAACACUUUUCACGUGAAUGAACAGAUGCAUCAUUUUUUUUUUCCCUGAGCAGAGGGGCCACAGCUCACAGCAGAAUUGCAAAGCUUUUUGUGACCAAAAAAGGUUAAGGAAA